GAUGAACGCUGGCGGCGUGCCUAAUACAUGCAAGUCGAACGAAACUUCUUUAUCACCGAGUGCUUGCACUCACCGAUAAAGAGGUGAGUGGCGAACGGGUGAGUAACACGUGGGCAACCUGCCCAAAAGAGGGGGAUAACACUUGGAAACAGGUGCUAAUACCGCAUAACCAUAGUUACCGCAUGGUAACUAUGUAAAAGGUGGCUAUACUACCGCUUUUGGAUGGGCCCGCGGCGCAUUAGCUAGUUGGUAGGGUAAAGGCUUACCAAGGCAAUGAUGCGUAGCCGAAUUGAGAGGUUGAUCGGCCACAUUGGGACUGAGACACGGCCCAAACUCCUACGGGAGGCAGCAGUAGGGAAUCUUCUACAAUGGGCGAAAGCCUGACGGAGCAACGCCGCGUGGGUGAAGAAGGUCUUCGGAUCGUAAAACCCUGUUGUUAGAGAAGAAAGUGCGUGAGAGUAACUGUUCACGUUUCGACGGUAUCUAACCAGAAAGCCACGGCUAACUACGUG
rnacentral:rRNA from 1 species